rnacentral:rRNA from 1 species
AACGAACGCUGGCGGCAUGCCUAACACAUGCAAGUCGAACGAUUGCCUUCGGGUGAUAGUGGCGCACGGGUGCGUAACGCGUGGGAAUCUGCCCUUAGGUUCGGAAUAACAGCUGGAAACGGCUGCUAAUACCGGAUGAUAUCGCGAGAUCAAAGAUUUAUCGCCUGAGGAUGAGCCCGCGUUGGAUUAGGUAGUUGGUGGGGUAAAGGCCUACCAAGCCGACGAUCCAUAGCUGGUCUGAGAGGAUGAUCAGCCACACUGGGACUGAGACACGGCCCAGACUCCUACGGGGGGCAGCAGUGGGGAAUAUUGGACAAUGGGCGCAAGCCUGAUCCAGCAAUGCCGCGUGAGUGAUGAAGGCCCUAGGGUUGUAAAGCUCUUUUACCCGGGAAGAUAAUGACUGUACCGGGAGAAUAAGCCCCGGCUAACUCCGUG